UACGAAGGGGGCUAGCGUUGUUCGGAUUUACUGGGCGUAAAGCGCGCGUAGGCGGCUUGGCAAGUCGGAUGUGAAAUCCCUCGGCUCAACCAAGGAAGUGCAUCCGAAACUGCUGAGCUUGAGUACUUAAGAGGAUCGCGGAAUUCCCGGUGUAGAGGUGAAAUUCGUAGAUAUCGGGAGGAACACCAGUGGCGAAGGCGGC
rnacentral:rRNA from 1 species